rnacentral:rRNA from 1 species
AGUGAACGCUGGCGGUAGGCCUAACACAUGCAAGUCGAACGGCAGCACAGUAAGAGCUUGCUCUUACGGGUGGCGAGUGGCGGACGGGUGAGGAAUACAUCGGAAUCUACUUUUUCGUGGGGGAUAACGUAGGGAAACUUACGCUAGUACCGCAUACGACCUACGGGUGAAAGCAGGGGAUCUUCGGACCUUGCGCGAUUGAAUGAGCCGAUGUCGGAUUAGCUAGUUGGCGGGGUAAAGGCCCACCAAGGCGACGAUCCGUAGCUGGUCUGAGAGGAUGAUCAGCCACACUGGAACUGAGACACGGUCCAGACUCCUACGGGAGGCAGCAGUGGGGAAUAUUGGACAAUGGGCGCAAGCCUGAUCCAGCAAUACCGCGUGGGUGAAGAAGGCCUUCGGGUUGUAAAGCCCUUUUGUUGGGAAAGAAAAGCAGCAGGUUAAUACCCCGCUGUUCUGACGGUACCCAAAGAAUAAGCACCGGCUAACUUCGUG